UAAUGUACCGGAACGUGCCCAGUCGUGGGGGAUAACUGCUCGAAAGAGCAGCUAAUACCGCAUACGACCUGAGGGUGAAAGCGGGGGAUCGCAAGACCUCGCGCGAUUGGAGCGGCCGAUAUCAGAUUAGGUAGUUGGUGAGGUAAAGGCUCACCAAGCCGACGAUCUGUAGCUGGUCUGAGAGGACGACCAGCCACACUGGGACUGAGACACGGCCCAG
rnacentral:rRNA from 1 species